rnacentral:rRNA from 1 species
GAAGUUUCUACUUAAAUCUCACGGCUCAACCGUGAAUCUGGUAGGAAACUCUCGAGCUAGAGAAUAGUAGAGGUACCUGGAAUUUCCAAUGUAGGGGUAAUAUCCGUAGAUAUUGGAAGGAAUACCAAUGGCGUAGGCAGGGUACUGGACUAUUUCUGACGCUGAGGCACGAAAGCGUGGGGAGCGAACCGGAUUAGAUACCCGGGUAGUCCACGCCGUAAACGAUGGAUGCUA